GACGAACGCUGGCGGCGUGCCUAACACAUGCAAGUCGAGCGGGGAUUUAAGUGGAAGUUCUUCGGAAUGGAGAUUUAAAUUCUAGCGGCGGACGGGUGAGUAACGCGUGAACAAUCUGUCCCGGACAGGGGGAUAACACUUGGAAACAGGUGCUAAUACCGCAUAAGACCACGGCCUCGCAUGGGGCUGAGGUAAAAGGAGCAAUCCGGUUCGGGGUGAGUUCGCGUCCGAUUAGCUAGUUGGUGAGGUAACGGCCCACCAAGGCGACGAUCGGUAGCCGGCCUGAGAGGGUGAACGGCCACAUUGGAACUGAGAGACGGUCCAAACUCCUACGGGAGGCAGCAGUGGGGAAUAUUGGGCAAUGGGCGAAAGCCUGACCCAGCAACGCCGCGUGAGGGAAGAAGGUUUUCGGAUUGUAAACCUCUGUCCUAUGGGACGAAGGAAGUGACGGUACCAUAGGAGGAAGCCCCGGCUAACUACGUG
rnacentral:rRNA from 1 species